rnacentral:rRNA from 1 species
AAUUUGAAAUCUGGCCCUUUUGGGGUCCGAGUUGUAAUUUGUAGAGAGUGCUUCGGGUGAGACCGCGGUCUAAGUCCAUUGGAACAUGGCGUCCCAGAGGGUGAGAAUCCCGUAUGUGACCGUGGCUCGAGCCCAUGUGAAGCCUCUUCGACGAGUCGAGUUGUUUGGGAAUGCAGCUCUAAAUGGGUGGUAAAUUUCAUCUAAAGCUAAAUACUGGCUGGAGACCGAUAGCGCACAAGUAGAGUGAUCGAAAGAUGAAAAGCACUUUGGAAAGAGGGUUAAACAGUACGUGAAAUUGUUGAAAGGGAAGCGCUGGCAACCAGACCUGCCCGUAGGCGAUCACCCGUUGUUUUCAGCGGUGCACUCGUUCUGCGAUCAGGCCAGCAUCGGUUCCGGCGGGCGGAUAAAGGUCUUGGGAAUGUAGCUCUCUUUCGGGGGAGUCUUAUAGCCCUCGAUGCAAUGCGCCCAGCCGGGACCGAGGACCGCGCUUCGGCUAGGAUGCUGGCGUAAUGGUUGUCAGCGACCC